rnacentral:rRNA from 1 species
AUUGAACGCUGGCGGCAGGCCUAACACAUGCAAGUCGAGCGAGCGGAGGACGGGUGAGUAAUGUCGAGGAACCUGCCUGAUGGCGGUGGAUAACUGCUGGAAACGGUAGCUAAUAACGGAUACAAUCAGAUGUGCGAAGAUGGGAUUAGCUAGUAGGUGGGGUAAUGGCUUAACUAGUCGACGAUCCCUAGCUGGGAUGAGAGGAUGACCGACCACACUGGAACUGAGACACGGUCCAGACUCCUACGGGAGGCAGCAGUGGGGAAGAUUGAACAAUGGGCGCAAGCCUGAUGCAGCCAUGCCGCGUGUAUGAAGAAGGCCUUCGGGUUGGAAAGUACUUUCAGCGAGGAGGCGUUACUCGCAGAAGAAGCACCGGCUAACUCCGUGCCAGCAGCCGCGGUAAUUC